GAUGAACGCUGGCGGCGUGCUUAACACAUGCAAGUCGAACGAUGAUGCCCAGCUUGCUGGGUGGAUUAGUGGCGAACGGGUGAGUAACACGUGAGUAACCUGCCCUUGACUCUGGGAUAAGCCUGGGAAACUGGGUCUAAUACCGGAUACGACCAUCUGGCGCAUGUCAUGGUGGUGGUAAGCUUUUGUGGUUUUGGAUGGACUCGCGGCCUAUCAGCUUGUUGGUGGGGUAAUGGCCUACCAAGGCGACGACGGGUAGCCGGCCUGAGAGGGUGACCGGCCACACUGGGACUGAGACACGGCCCAGACUCCUACGGGAGGCAGCAGUGGGGAAUAUUGCACAAUGGGCGCAAGCCUGAUGCAGCGACGCCGCGUGAGGGAUGACGGCCUUCGGGUUGUAAACCUCUUUCAGUAGGGAAGAAGCGAAAGUGACGGUACCUGCAGAAGAAGCGCCGGCUAACUACGUG
rnacentral:rRNA from 1 species